rnacentral:rRNA from 1 species
GAGCUUGCUCUUGUGGAUCAGUGGCGAACGGGUGAGUAACACGUGAGCAACCUGCCCCUGACUCUGGGAUAAGCGCUGGAAACGGCGUCUAAUACUGGAUAUGUGACGUGACCGCAUGGUCUGCGUUUGGAAAGAUUUUUCGGUUGGGGAUGGGCUCGCGGCCUAUCAGCUUGUUGGUGAGGUAAUGGCUCACCAAGGCGUCGACGGGUAGCCGGCCUGAGAGGGUGACCGGCCACACUGGGACUGAGACACGGCCCAGACUCCUACGGGAGGCAGCAGUGGGGAAUAUUGCACAAUGGGCGAAAGCCUGAUGCAGCAACGCCGCGUGAGGGAUGACGGCCUUCGGGUUGUAAACCUCUUUUAGCAGGGAAGAAGCGAAAGUGACGGUACCUGCAGAAAAAGCGCCGGCUAACUACGUGCCAGCAGCCGCGGUAAUACGUAGGGCGCAAGCGUUAUCCGGAAUUAUUGGGCGUAAAGAGCUCGUAGGCGGUUUGUCGCGUCUGCUGUGAAAUCCC